GACUCUUAGGGUGGAUCACUCUGCUCCUGUGUCAAUGAAAAAUGCAGCUAGCUGUGAGAAUUAAUGUGAACUGGACACAUUGAUCAUUGACACUUUGAACUCACUUGUGGCCCAGGUUCUUCUCAGGGCUGCACCUGUCUGAGUAUCA
rnacentral:rRNA from 1 species